GGAAUAUUGGUCAAUGGGCGAGAGCCUGAACCAGCCAAGUAGCGUGCAGGAUGACGGCCCUAUGGGUUGUAAACUGCUUUUAUACGGGGAUAAAGUGAGGGACGUGUCCCUUUUUGUAGGUACCGUAUGAAUAAGGACCGGCUAAUUCCGUGCCAGCAGCCGCGGUAAUACGUAGGUGGCAAGCGUUAUCCGGAUUUAUUGGGCGUAAAGCGAGCGCAGGCGGUUUCUUAAGUCUGAUGUGAAAGCCUUCGGCGUAACCGAAGAAGUGCAUCGGAAACUGGGAAACUUGAGUGCAGAAGAGGACAGUGGAACUCCAUGUGUAGCGGUGAAAUGCGUGGAUAUAUGGAAGAACACCAGUGGCGAAGGCGGCUGUCUGGUCUGUAACUGACGCUGAGGCUCGAAAGCAUGGGUAGCGAACA
rnacentral:rRNA from 1 species